AAGUUUGAGGCCAGCCUCAGCCAUUUAGUGAGAUCUGCUGCAAAAUAAAAAAUGAAAAGGGACGUAGCUCAAUGGCGGAGUCCCUGGAUUCAAUCUCCAGCACACACACACACACACACACACACAAAGUUAUCUGUGGAGUAAGUUCAGCAGAAAAGAACAAGGUCAGUGUGCUGGACUGGGGUUUCCUGCCUGACCCCAGAGGCUAGCCCACGGUGACCCCUGUGGUCCACCGGAACAGGGACAGCCUCUUCCCUUGCAGAUGGCGAGCUGCACCUCUUCGAGCCUUGGGCCUCUGGUCAUGCCUGUCACCGGCCAGCUGGAGCCGGAGGACUGCUUUGAAUACUGGUGUUCUAACAUCUCAGGUCACAUGGCAGUCACUGUCCGGCAGUGUCUCACAGACUCAGGAAAAGAUCCCAGUUCCACAGUGAGGCUGAAGUCCAGAUGAAACCAGUGAGGAGCGGGCAGCGUUGGCCUCUGGCUGUCUGAAGGCAGCUUCUGGGGUGCCCAUCAGGAAGAGUGUGGGGAAGGAAGCCCUCAGGCCACUUUUGUGUGAGGCUUAGACUUGUUGAGACCCACCUGACCCAGCUGCCCAAGUCGGGAGACCUUCGUCAUCCAGUGAAGGCCUUACAGAGGGUCUUCUGUAUGGAGGGUGGGCUAUUGCCUUCCGCCAGCUGCCGCCGCUGCACCAAUGAUCAAGUGCAGUGAGACCCGUGGAGGGAAGACCAAGGGACGAGGAGCAGCCAGGAGUUACUUCUGAGAGAGUAAUCAGAAUCAUGCAGAGAGCAGACCGUAACGAAAUGGGGAUUAAUUAAAAGUCCACAGACAACAGGUUAAAUAAACUACAGUAUAUCCACACAAUGAGAUAGGGUCAUAAUAAAGUCAUGGAAAACCAAUUAAUGACGCAUGGAAAUGUUCAGGAUAUAUGAAUACAUGGAAAAUAAAGUUAUGAAAGAGUGUGUUUGGCAUGACCCAAUUAUGUAAAAACAAAAUAAAGCAAGACAAAAACUGUGUCUCUCUACCCUCAUCUGUUCCUCUGUCUGGGAAGGGUAUACCAGCAAAUGUUCCCACAAUAAUUUUGGCCGCAGAUAGUACAGCAAUCUUUUCUUCUUUGAGCUUGCCUUCAUGAAUAUUCCCAAAGUUACAGAAACAAAAACAAAUAUAUAAUUGGAUUCAAUAUAACUGACAUUUGAAAGAGAAGAUCUCAGGGUGUGUUAAUCAACCCAACUCCUAAAUUAUCUAUCCUCUUGUUAGAUCAACACACCACAAUAUCUUUGAAAUAUGACAUUUUAAUCCCUGCAGAAAUGCUGCAGCAUAGGUGAUUAAAAAUUGAACAUUGGCUGGGUGCGGUGGUGCAUGCCUGUAAUCCCAGCUGCUCAGGAGGCUGAGGCAGGAGCAUCUUGAGUUCAAAGUCAGCCUCACCAACUCGAGGCACUAAACAACUCAGUGAGACCCUGUCUCUAAAUAAAAUACAAAAUAGGGCUGGGGAUGUGGCUCGGUGGUCAAAUGCCCCUGAGUUCAAUCCCUGGUACCAACAAAAUAAAUACAAAUAAAAAUUUAAAAAGUUGAACACUUGACUGACUUUGAUAUGAAGAACAUUUUCUUUUUUUUUUUUUAGAGAGAGAAUUUUUUAAUAUUUAUUUAGUUUUCGGUGGACACAACAUCUUUAUUUUAUUUUUUAUGUGGUGCUGAGGAUCGAACCCAGCACCCCGUGCAUGCCAGGUGAGCGCGCUAAGGCUUGAGCCACAUCCCUGCCCUGAAGAACAUUUUCUUAAUGAUUUGCAAAACUAUAUUUCAAGACUUGGGUCCUAUUCCUUUUGUAAAGAGCUGCUCCACGGGUUUAUAAGAGAAUUGAUGCCAAGGAAGGGUUUAUGUUUUGGUAAGUUUUUAUUCUACAGCACAAAUUUUAGAACACAUCUUGUGUUGCCUGCCUGAAAGAUAAGAAGUGAAUUUACUCAUCGAUUGUUGUGAAGACAUGGCCACAGAUCUCCUAUGGUUAGGAUCUCGCCUCGUAACUGAUUGUGUUGCUCAGUUUUAGUUUUUCAAACUCUUUUCUCUUAGGUGUUUCAUAGGCAACUCAUCUCAAAUGAUAUUUUCAAAACUGACAUGUGAAGCACAGAGAUUGCCAGGUGUUCUCUAAUAACUGAAUAAGAAGAAAUGGAAAUUAGCACUCUUUAUGUCCGCACGCGUGUAUAAGCUAGUUUUAAAACAGUUCUUCCUGUUUGUUCAGCCUUCCUGUCGGAAUUCUGAGGGCUUCUGAAGUGAAUUUUCACUGUCACUUCAUCACAGUAAAAACUACUGAUCAAAACAAUGGCUUUUCAGACAGUGGGCUGUUUGGGAGAGUUUACAUCAAUGGAAUGCUCUUUCCUACCCGAAGGAACCUUAUGAAAACAUUUGAAAUUUCCACAUCUAGCCAAGUCCCAUUCAGCUUAGGAAGCUCCCUGCUCAUCUCUUCCACGGCUCUGAGAAGACCUCCCAUUAGGAGCUGGGAUUUGGUCCUCUGCUAAUGACUACAAGCUUGAAAUGUCCAUGACCUUUUCUAUCCCUGGGGCUGACUGCGGGGUCGGGCUUGAGGUCACUGGCUGGAAAAUCACAAUGUCGUGAUGUUGGGGGAGGAGAAGUGAACUUGCACUAGAGACAAGGCGGGACUUCCUCGGCCAUGAGGGAGUCAGUCCUGCUUCACCCAGGGGCUGCCUGCCCUGCGGCGCCAGGUGGGGAGAAUCAUGGAGAACCAGCUGUCCCCCGAGUCAGUGUCCAGACAUGGCAUCAGCACCCAUUGGGCUGUCCUGGGAAGUGUCGAGUGUCAAGUUUGUAUCCAUCUGUUUAUUUAAAUCGAGGACAUAAAGUUAACAUGAAGC
rnacentral:lncRNA from 1 species